rnacentral:antisense_RNA from 1 species
CCUUCCUCCCUGCCUUCCUUCUUCCUUCCUCUCUUUUUUCUUUUCUCCCUUCCUUCCUUCUUAAUAUGUUUUUGGCCUUUUCUUUAUAUAUGUGGCCUAUCAAUAUCAUGUGUUUGGAAAAGCAUAAACUUAAGGCAUCACCUUUACAGAAAAUAUCUUCCAUGGAAACAUCUAAAGGCAAAAAUCCUUCAAAUUCAAAUUUAUCCAAUCAUUUCUUCUGCUUACUACCAUCCUAAAUCAUUUUUCUUUAGUAAGAUCUAUUAGUGUGAAGCUAUUAAGCUAUUAAUGUAAGUAUCAUAUUAAUGUAUUAAGAUAUUAAGUGAGGAAGUAAAGUUGCAUUCAUAGGCCUUGAACUUUUCCACAUCUCGAUUUUUACCCAUCAUCUCUGCAUAUUUUCCUAAGGCAGCCUUCAAAUGGUGAUGUUUCCUGUCAUCCAGAGUUCAGAAGUGCCUUCUCUUCAACCUUUCUGUGGAAUUCUAAACCACGUGAUAAAGGAGCUGGUGGCUGGUCUCAAACUCUGGGGCUCAAAUGAUCCACCCAUCUUGGCCUCCCAAAGUGCUGGGUGUGAACCACUGCACCUGGCCAAAAAUAUUUUACUAAGAAAAAGGAGUCACCUAUUGUAUGAUUCCAUUUAUAUGAAAUAUCCAAAAUAGGCCACAGAUCAGCCCUGGGGUUCAGAGGGAUCCUGACGGCUACUCCUCAAGAUCCUCUCUGUUGUGAUUCAUCCCCCCCAGGCCC